rnacentral:sRNA from 1 species
CUAAAGUGGAGGUGGUCCACUUCUUGUCAUGUCCGGAAGAUUAUUUAUUCAUCAACCAUCAAUCCGCGACGGCCGCGGUGGUUGUAAUUUUACUACUGGCAUCAUUAACUACAGUGAGCCUUUGUGGAGAGAGUGUGUUAAAAGAGUAAAACCGGUUUAGCAAAACGUUUCAUAGGUACAGGUUAUAGAAGAGGCCAAUUUGGCUGACCGACUUGCAAGCUGCAAGUGUGAUAAGAUCGUGCACUGCAUCAAAUUAAUUACUAGUUUGUACUUUUGGGUUGAUUCCUUCACAUUUGCUAUGAUGCGAUGGUAUGGACGUUGAGUAAGAGCGGCGGGAGGUCAAGGAUGGAAGGUCACUGCGAGGGACCGCUUGAGGAAGAAAGAGAAACAGGGCACGAACUGCCGCAGAACUGCAUAGUACACCAGAUAGGUUCUCGCUUCACGCACUAGUUUAUACAUAGUGGCGAAUGACGACGAGGGAAGACGGAAGCCGGAUAAUGGAUAUGUCGGACUUCUAUUAAAUCGCUCAGAUCUGGGCUCAUCUUCCUGCGACGCAUUCGCAUAAAUCGUACUUGUCUCCUAGAUACGUCUCCUAGGAUACUACUGGAAAAGGAAAAAAAACCGAGAGGAGAACUGAGGCCAACCCGCACAUCACCCUUUUUAGAAACAAGACAUCCGUUUGGGGGGGGGGCGUCUCUUCAAAAUAGCCAAGAAGAGAUACGCAGUUAGUUAAGAGCAUGGGACAGUAGGCUCCUUCCUUCUUCUUGGCUCUCUUGGCUCCUCCUGCGCCUACUAGAAAAUAAAUAAUUACUAUUUGCAUAACAUACACAUGUCCGUUGUUGGCACAAAAUAUUCUCUCGUUGACGUCACCCGGGUUAUCAAAUAUUCUCUAUUUUUUAGGCCCGCGAAAAAUCGGCUGUGAGCUUUGUUGUGUGCCUACCAUUAAAAGUUGUUUGACCUCGGAUUAUUUGGUUCUCAAAAGUGCAGCAACCCCCCGGCACGCAACGAGGAAUUUAACAGCCGAGGAAUGCUAUUAGCUUAUGCAUGCGGCAUCUACGAUUGCGAGGCCUGUGAGCAAGGGCGUUACCUUUGUGAGCUGGCUGCCCUCGUCUGAAGAGAGCCAAGUCACUGGCGCCACGCGAAGUCGAAGAAUGAUUCGCCUGGCUGGCGUCGGUUGGUGGUGGUGGACCGCGCACUUUGUUGGUGUAGGGAGUAAACCUUAAGGUCGUAGUCGACUGGACCUAUCCAGUUUGCUCCACGGAUCCUUACAUCGCUCCUCCUUUGCCCUUCUUCAAUGUGGGGCUCAAGAGUUAUGAUGCUGUUGGGUAUCCUUGGAGGGACGUGUAGAGAAGGGAGGUAAGCCCAUUGUGUCGAGCGCGGUAGUGGGGACGCCUACCAAGGCAGAGUUCUUCGUAGCCUAGAUGGUUCUUUUAAUGGCAUGCCUGACAGGUGGAGUGGUUGGAAUGGGGCGUGCGGUUAUAUUAUUUUGCAAAUUGCUGAAUGAUUUUCCACUUUUGUGGGCUUCCACAACAGUUCAUUUGGUAGUGGGGGUGGCCUGGGGUCCCAUUAUGGGGAAGAACCAGAUAGUUA